rnacentral:misc_RNA from 1 species
UGGUGCUCCUUGAAGCAGAAGAAAGACCGUAAUACAUCUUCCUCAUCCAGCAAAAUAUACAUCAAGAUCAAUGAGGAUGAGAUUGCAAGUGAUUAUCCUUUACCUGCAUAUUACAAAACAUCUAAUGAAGAGACUGAUGAGUAUAUUGUCUUUGACAGUGGGGUUGAAACAUACCAUAUUGAUGAGUUGCCUCGCAGCAUGCUUCAUAAUUGGGCAUUAUACAACUCGGACUCAAGGCUAAUAUCUUUAGAACUGCUGCCAAUGAAAGCUUGUGCUGAUAUUGAUGUAACCAUUUUUGGGUCUGGAGUGAUGACUGCUGAUGAUGGGUCUGGCUACAAUUUUGACACAGAUGCA